rnacentral:rRNA from 1 species
AUACGUAGGGUGCAAGCGUUAAUCGGAAUUACUGGGCGUAAAGCGUGCGCAGGCGGUUUUGUAAGACAGUGGUGAAAUCCCCGGGCUCAACCUGGGAACUGCCAUUGUGACUGCAAGGCUGGAGGGCGGCCGAGGGGGGUGGAAUUCCGCGUGUAGCAGUGAAAUGCGUAGAUAUGCGGAGGAACACCGAUGGCGAAGGCAAUCCCCUGGGCCUGCACUGACGCUCAUGCACGAAAGCGUGGGGAGCAAACAGGAUUAGAUACCCUGGUAGUCCACGCCCUAAACGAUGUCAACUGGUUGUUGGGGAUUUAUUUUCUCAGUAACGAAGCUAACGCGUGAAGUUGACCGCCUGGGGAGUACGGCCGCAAGGUUAAAACUCAAAGGAAUUGACGGGG